rnacentral:rRNA from 1 species
GACAGAGGGUGCUAGCGUUGUUCGGAAUUAUUGGGCGUAAAGGGCUCGUAGGCGGUUUGUCGCGUCGGGAGUGAAAACCUUGGGCUUAACUCAGGGCUUGCUUUCGAUACGGGCAGACUAGAGGUAUGCAGGGGAGAACGGAAUUCCUGGUGUAGCGGUGGAAAAUGCGCAGAUAUCAGGAGGAACACCGGUGGCGAAGGCGGUUCUCUGGGCAUGAUCUGACGCUGAGGAGCGAAAGUGUGGGGAGCGAACAGG